rnacentral:tRNA from 1 species
GGUAUUGUGGCUCAGUGGUAGAGCAUUCCCCUAGCCCGUGUGAGGCCCUGGGUUUGAUCCUCAGCACCA